AGGACAUGAUGGGGGCACUGUCUCUGAAUGCUCUAGAACCGGUCUUAGGCUUCAAAUAGGGAUUCUGAGUCUAUCUGCUUAAAACUGGCAAUCAAGUUUCUCAUCUG